CCUCCCAUGAGUUCUGGCCAGGAGGCUUCUCGCCCUGUUCAAAUUGUUACAAAGUUCAACUAUAGAUUUCUUUCUUCCUGUGGAGUUUCAACACCUGCUCCUCUGGCCACCCUCACAAUGGAUCCCUGUGGUGCCAAGCAGGAAUGGCCUGUUUGGGCACCCAGUGAGCUCCCAGGGCCUUUCUACUGCUUCCUCAAACCCUGUAUUUUGCUCAGCUCUCUAAAUGGAUUCAACUCCAGAGAAGACUAUCAAGUAGUUAGGAAAGAAAGUCAGUGAGAUGUCUCAGGCGUGACUCAGCUACGGAAACAAUAGCAAUCAGAGGACAUUUGGAGAUGAAGAAAAAAAAGAAACAAACUUCAAUACAAUGAGAAAUAUACCAGUACAUGUAUGACACUCAAGUAACAUAAAUGUAGCUAUAGAAGAGAGCAAUGAUAUUGGUCUUAUCUUACUAUGGAAGAAUUGCUAUAACCUCAUAUUCAUCUGCAAAUGUGGACAUUUGGAACAGUAAAGAAGCGAUGAACUAAAUUCUAAGCCAGGCAAAGGGAGUGUUACUACCCUGACCAAAAGAAUUUUUUUAACAUGGAGUCCCCAAGACAACGAUGGUGACUGACUCGAGACCUGGAACCAAACCCAGAACUUCACUUCCCUGUGCCAGAAGGA
rnacentral:lncRNA from 10 species